AAGUCGUAACAAGGUUUCCGUAGGUGAACCUGCGGAAGGAUCAUUAACACGUAUCCACGUAUCAACCAACUGUGAACUUGUUCUCACUUCUCCCUAGACUGUUAACCAGGUAGAGUAGGUUAGAGAGAUUCUAUGAUUGGAUUCAUCUUGUAUGAAUCAAUCUCUCUUUCUUCAGUUGAAUUUAGAUUCGUCUAUAUCAACUCGCUUAGCUACAGUCAGGCUUACUUCUGCUAUUGCAUUGGACACUCAUAGCAAUGUGAUAGUAGAGAUUAUUACAUAUUAACCUAUUUCACACCCUUAUUGCUAGUUGACUUAUCUAUGUUGUCUGUUCUGUGUAAUUGAUUUUACACUGUAACUGUACACACUUACAUUAUUGUAAUGUUAAUCAACAACUCUUAGCAAUGGAUAUCUAGGUUCUC
rnacentral:misc_RNA from 1 species